GGGGGGGGGGGGGGGGGGGGGGGGGGGGGGGGGGGGGGGGGGGGGGGGUGCCGGGCCGCCUGCCGCGGAGCGGGCCGGCCUCCGGCAGCGCCGAGCUGGGGCCGAGGGGGUUAACGCGCGGCUGCGACACGGGAGCAAGUUCGCUGUGAAUUGGGAAGCGCAAACUAUAGUAAUCCCCACCCUGCUGAGUGGCUUCCCCAGAGGUCUGAUACAGUGCCAAAGCCUCUUACGCAUACUGAGACAAAGCUUAUUUCAAGCCGAAUUCAGCUCCUGAAGCCACCAUACUGCUUCCUGACAGCCUCCAAUUGCACUGCCUCUGUAUUUGUGUUUCCUGCUGUUUAUAUUUACUUGUUCCCAGAGCCACAACAGCUACAAAAACAAAUAGUUGCUGUUUGCAGGGCUCUGUAUCAACACAGGAUCAAAUAUUUUACCCUCCAUUCUGCAGCCAACUUUUCCACUGUAUAUACAAAUGUUCAGCUGCAGAGGUGAUUUUUCAUUGUUUCGCCCAGAGUCUACAUUUGGGGAAUAUUAUGAGAAGCUGAAGCUCCUGAAAUGUUCAGCUGCAGAGGUGGUUUUUCAUUGUUUCGCCCAGAGUCUACAUUUGGGGAAUAUUAUGAGAAGCUGAAGCUAACACAGAUGCACACAUUCCAGGGAUUCAUGUGAAGUCCUGCCACUGCAAGUCCAGCUGAGGCGAUGAACCUUUGUGGACCUUCCAGGAAGCUUGUGAAUUUCGUUGCCAAGUUCAAACAGCUCUAAAAUACAUAAGGAAAUGAGAUCCCAUGGUAUUUAUACAAAUUCCCAUGUCAGACAUAAACGACUACCUUUGUCUACUGUUCGACAAAAAAAACAAACUUGCAUGAAUCUUUCCCAAAUGUAGAAGCGGUUAUACCAUUGUAGUGCUAAAUCUGGCAAAAGAGCACAUGAAGUGUGUGUGCAGAGACUGCUUUGGAGGUUUUGGAGGGGUAAAGAUGGUGUUGUGAUACUGCAUUUUUAAAUGCAUUUUAUCUGCUGUUGCCUUCCCU
rnacentral:lncRNA from 12 species